rnacentral:lncRNA from 1 species
GUGAAAUUUAAACAGUCAUUAAGUAAAAUAUACAUAGAUUUCCUAACACAUAAUAAAGGUACCACCAUCUCCUUGAGGAAUUUGAGAAAUAUUCUGAAGUUGAAUAUGGAGGAAUCAGCACAGGGUCCAGGAAAAUCACCUUAAUUUUGAUGAUUGUGUAUCACCAAAGAGUACUGUGAAAAUGAAGUCUCACAAUUGUCAGAGGUUUACUGGCUGAUUCAUCCUGGUUCUAUGACUAGUGGGGCAUGGACCCACAC